GGCUCAUCAGAAGCCAAGUGGGAGAGAAAACCUACUGGAUAGUAACUCUCCAGGACCGGCGUUGGAGACCCCUGACAUAAACCAAUGUUUCUCAACUCGGUCCUCAGGAACCUCCACACUGUCCCCCUGAACCAAACAGUCAAACAUUCAAGAACAUCAAAUUCCUGGUACAGGUGUGCUAGGAGCUUAGAGGGAGUAAAAAUGUGGGCUGUCUGGCUGGCUAGGGUAAAAGGUUUUAUAUUGAUAGGUUUGAUAAGUAUUGAGGUGGUUAACGUUACGAAAUCACAGCCUACAGGCUGGCGAUCGGCCCCUUAGGUAACCCGAAUCGCUCAGGUGUAAAACUCACAGCAUCUAAACAUUUUGCAGCUUGUGGGAGGCAGUAGCAGUUAUUUGCCGUGCUGUUUCAGCUCUGAGAAGCGCACAGCUUCAGUCUAUACAUUUCAAAGGGCCUGCCAAAGGCAGCGAGACAGUAACAGCCCCCCGGCGAGCCCCCCGGUCCCGAAGAGCGGCAUCGUGACCGCCUCCUCGCACGUGGUGACGGCCCCCUGUCACAGAGCUCUUGUUCCUCGCUGAAAGCGGGUGGGCGGCGGCGCCCAUCUCCCAGCGGAGGUGACUUCAUUCGAGGCGGACGAGCGGCGCUCCCAUUGCCGCGGCUGCGGGGGGUGUGGGGGGGGGCAGUGGCAGAUGCCAGUUCGGCCGCAGAGCGUGAAUCACCUCCGCGGUGGUAUUUAACGCCGCUCCGAUCCACGCCUCCUGUGGGCAUGUUAUUUAAGCUGUGCUGUGGGGGGGGGAAUCGCUGGUUAGUGGCUGUUUGGCAAACUAUACUCCCCCCCCUCCCCUCCCCACUGUGAUUGACAGUUUUAUUUGUCUUCUGUUAAAGGAAAUCUGCAUAUGCUUCACCCCCACCCCAUUAACCAAGACUCCAAAGGUAUGUCAUGAAGGAAAUGUGACACAUUUAUUACCUAAUGGGUUCGUCACCCCUUUGAAAUAGGUCAGCAUGGUUCUCUGUUGUGGCUGAAGUAGGCUUUGGGGUGACGACAUUGUCAGACAUGGUGGAAGGUAUCAGGUUAACCAUGACCUGGGAAUGGACCUCAUCAACCACUUCAUCAUCAUCGAGAAAUUACCCAAGCGGUAAGACUUCAUAAAAGAGCCACUACUAUUAAAAAGACCACAGAUUCCAUUCCAAGGAGAAAAAGAUGCUUAAUGAAUUAUUCAUCAUGCAGUUUUGUUAGGCUCCACCCCCACGUCUUCCUCCUCUACUCCACGUUCUCCCCUCCAGUGAGGGCGGGGGCAGGGCUGCGUGCCCACGGCAGCCUUGCAGCUGGAUGACAUCAUCUCGCCGGUGCAAGCCAAGCAGCAAAACAAGACGACGUGUGUCUCCCUAAAUGUGGCCACUCCCCCCCACUCCACCCACCAAUAGUGAACUAAACCCUGCAUGCAUUGCAUUGCACUGCCAACUUCUGUUACCUUAUAUCUCGCAUGCUGCUCUUAUGGGAUUCGUCGUUUUAAUCGCAAGUCUUGGAGCCACUUUAUCCUGCUUAUUAGGCCUGAUUGCUGCAUUUGUAAAUGAUUUUAAAGUCAUUUAUUGCAGAUGUAAGGUUUGUUGUAAAUGUGUGAUGCCACGUUCACACCGGACAUGCGCUGACAGAGACCCCAGAGAAUAAGCCUGAAAUGUUCUGUCCUCACAUAACCUGUGUUUAUUAAUUUUCCACUGGGAUGCAUGCAUACAACAUCAUGCAAAACAGCAUCAGAAACUCUACAAGAGCUCAUUCACAUGCUUUACUGCUUUUAUUUGUUGUCAGUUUACUUGUCAUUGUGGCAGACUCUUUAACCCAAAAUAACUUGUUAUAAAAUAUGCUAAAACAUUAUUUAUGACAUAUACAAGACAUUUAAACCUCACAAGCAGUGUCCAAUCAAUGCAGCAAAGCUCUGAUUAAUGUUUUGUGACAUGACCGCUGCAAGCAUUUACAAUUAAGACCAUUCUUAUAUUAAAACGUCAGAAGUCUAUAUAAACUGCAGUGUCUGUGUUUUAUUGCUGUGAAUUGAAAUAUUAAAGAACUGUAAUCAAAAUGUGGGUAGUGGUUUAUUCAUUUUGGAUUAACCAAUAUUAAAAAUUUAUAUUAUGACAUUCGAGAUGGAAUAUGACCCUUUUUUUUAAAAUUAUUAUUAUUGUUAUUGUGCGGCAUGAAAUCUCCUCCAGUUUUUGGGUAUACAGUC